AAUAAGUGCAGUUUUGCACUAUUCACGUUCAACGUUUGACCGUUUGUCUUAUUUAAUAUUUUUUUAUGAUUGGUAUUUUUAUUGCUAUUAGAUGAUAAAACAUGAAUAGUAUUUUAUGUGUGACUAAAUAUUUUCAAUUUUUUCACAAAUUUUUCAAAUAAGACGGACGGUCAAACGUUGGGCACGAAUAUCCACAGCUGCACUUAUU
rfam:Oryza glaberrima chromosome 9 Oglab09_0107_3, whole genome shotgun sequence.